rnacentral:rRNA from 1 species
GAUCCUGGCUUAGGAUGAACGCUAGCUACAGGCUUAACACAUGCAAGUCGAGGGGCAGCAUUGGAGUAGCAAUACUCAGAUGGCGACCGGCGCACGGGUGAGUAACACGUAUCCAACCUGCCGCUUACUCGGGGAUAGCCUUUCGAAAGAAAGAUUAAUACCCGAUGGUAUAAAGAGUUCGCAUGUUCUCUUUAUUAAAGAAUUUCGGUAAGCGAUGGGGAUGCGUUCCAUUAGAUUGUUGGCGGGGUAACGGCCCACCAAGUCUACGAUGGAUAGGGGUUCUGAGAGGAAGGUCCCCCACAUUGGAACUGAGACACGGUCCAAACUCCUACGGGAGGCAGCAGUGAGGAAUAUUGGUCAAUGGACGAGAGUCUGAACCAGCCAAAGUAGCGUGAAGGACGACUGCCCUAUGGGUUGUAAACUUCUUUUAUAAGGGAAUAAAGUGAGGGACGUGUCCCUCUUUGUAUGUACCUUAUGAAUAAGGAUCGGCUAACUCCGUGCCAGCCGCGGC